rnacentral:snRNA from 1 species
AGCUUUGCGCUGAGGCAGUAUGGUAGCCAAAGAGGAUUAUCUGAGGGGGUGAUUAUUGCAAGUUGAA